rnacentral:rRNA from 1 species
AAGUCAUCAUGGCCCUUACGGCCAGGGCUACACACGUACUACAAUGGUAGGGACAGAGGGCUGCAAGCCGGCGACGGUAAGCCAAUCCCAGAAACCCUAUCUCAGUCCGGAUUGGAGUCUGCAACUCGACUCCAUGAAGUCGGAAUCGCUAGUAAUCGCAGAUCAGCAUUGCUGCGGUGAAUACGUUCCCGGGCCUUGUACACACCGCCCGUCACACCAUGGGAGUUUGUUGCACCAGAAGCAGGUAGCUUAACCUUCGGGAGGGCGCUUGCCACGGUGUGGCCGAUGACUGGGGUGAAGUCGUAACAAGGUAGCCGUAUCGGAAGGUGCGGCUGGAUCACCUCCUUU